CCACAGGCUGGGCUCUUCCCAAGGGACCGCCUCCUGAAACCCAGUCUUGCUCAUGGGCUCUCUGGGAUCAGAUAUGACUUGGCACAACUGUGCCUCAAACUUCCCCCACAUGCCAGCUCAGGCAUAGCAUGCCUUGGGGGAAAGGGCUGACAGAUUGGAACCACGUCUAGCUUUUGUUGGGGCUCAGAAAACAGUGCCCCCAAAUGGCCUCAGCAGCAGCCUCAGAAGAAAAAGUUUUCCUCUGACCUUCUCCUGCCUCCCUCUCUCAGUCCAUUCUCCUGGAGGCACCAUAGAAUCCCUCUUCCCCAAAGCGGGGCACAGAAACCAG
rnacentral:lncRNA from 10 species